AUGAGGAUCGUCAGCUGGAACUGCCAGGGGCUCGGGAAUGGCCCGGCAGUUCGUGGCCUCUUGGAUCUCAAGAGGGUGGAGGAUCCCGAUGUUUUGUUUCUGUGCGAAACAAAGCUGUUUGAGAAGGAAAUGGAACAGUACAGGUGGAAGCUAGGGUUGGUGAACAUGUGUGUGAAGAACCCGGAUGGCAGGAGCACAGGCUUAUCUAUCUUAUGGAGAAGGGGCGUGAAUUUGUCACUGCGGUCCGUGGGUAGACGACAUAUUGAUGUUGACAUACCGGAUGAGGAUGGGACUGUAUGA
rnacentral:rRNA from 1 species